rnacentral:rRNA from 1 species
UACGAAGGGGGCUAGCGUUGCUCGGAAUCACUGGGCGUAAAGCGCACGUAGGCGGAUUGCUAAGUCAGGGGUGAAAUCCUGGAGCUCAACUCCAGAACUGCCUUUGAUACUGGCAACCCUUGAGUCCGGGAGAGGUGAGUGGAACUGCGAGUGUAGAGGUGAAAUUCGUAGAUAUUCGCAAGAACACCAGUGGCGAAGGCGGCUCACUGGCCCGGUACUGACGCUGAGGUGCGAAAGCGUGGGGAGCAAACAGG